ACUAUAUUGACAGAUUAGUGUAUUGAAUUUAGAAUUCAAAAAAGUAAAAAUUGUUUUACAUAUAGUA
rnacentral:tRNA from 1 species